rnacentral:tRNA from 1 species
GUCUUUGUGGCCGAGUGGUUAAGGCGACAGACUUGAAAUCUGUUGGGCUCUGCCCGCACAGGUUCGAAUCCUGUCGGCGACG